ACUCCUACGGGAGGCAGCAGUGGGGAAUAUUGGACAAUGGGCGCAAGCCUGAUCCAGCCAUGCCGCGUGAGUGAUGAAGGCCCUAGGGUUGUAAAGCUCUUUCGACGGGGACGAUAAUGACGGUACCCGUAGAAGAAGCCCGGGCUAACUUCGUCCAGCAGCCGCGGUAAU
rnacentral:rRNA from 1 species